CAGGCCUAACACAUGCAAGUCGAACGCACCGCAAGGUGAGUGGCAGACGGGUGAGUAACGCGUGGGAACCUUCCCUUUGGUACGGAAUAACUUCGGGAAACCGAAGCUAAUACCGUAUAAGUCCUUCGGGAGAAAGAUUUAUCGCCAAAGAAUGGGCCCGCGUUGGAUUAGCUAGUUGGUAGGGUAAAGGCCUACCAAGGCGACGAUCCGUAGCUGGUCUGAGAGGACGACCAGCCACACUGGGACUGAGACACGGCCCAGACUCCUACGGGAGGCAGCAGUGGGGAAUAUUGGACAAUGGGGGCAAUCCUGAUCCAGCCAUGCCGCGUGGGUGAUGAAGGCCCUAGGGUUGUAAAGCCCUUUCGGCGGGGAAGAUAAUGACGGUACCCGCAGAAGAAGCCCCGGCUAACUUCGUGCCAGCAGCCGCGGUAAUAC
rnacentral:rRNA from 1 species